rnacentral:rRNA from 1 species
AUGCGGCCUUACUUUGAUCCCGAGUAUGAGAACUUCAAUCAGCGCAUCAACCCUCCUCGGGUCUGCAUCGACAACAACACAUGCCGCGACUGCACCCUAGUGAAGGUGGACAGUAUGAACAAGAAUGGCAUUCUGCUGGAGGUGGUGCAGGUCCUGAGCGAUCUUGACCUCACCAUCUUGAAAGCUUACAUCACCUCGGAUGGCGGAUGGUUCAUGGACGUGUUCCAUGUGCUGGAUAAGCAAGGGCAGAAGGUGACCGAUGAGAAGACCAUUCAGCACAUCGAGAAGGCCUUAGGUCCGGGCAGCAACAUACCGGGCGCGACGAAGGGCAGCAAUUCGCCUGGGAGAUCAGUCGGGAUGCACUCGAUCGGCGACCACACCGCCAUCGAGCUCAAGGGGCCCGACAGAACCGGCCUUCUCUCCGAGAUCUUUGCCGUCCUGGCGGAGCUCCAGUGCAACGUCAUGGCGGCCGAGGUGUGGACGCACAGGACGAGGGUGGCCUGCGUGGUGUACGUCAACGACGUGUCCUCGGGGCAGGCCAUCGAGGACGCGUGCCGCCUGGCCGGGAUCGAGGAGCGGCUGCGGCACGUGCUCCGCGGGCACGGCGGCGGAGACGACGACGACGGCGACGGCCGGGGAGCGCACACCAACUUCUCCGCCGGCUCCACCCACGUGGACCGCCGGCUGCACCAGCUGAUGCACGCCGACAUGGACCUGGGCGGCGACGGUGCGCCGCAGGGCCGUCCCGCCGCCGACGACGGCACGGCGGUGACCGUGGAGCACUGCGAGGAGAAGGACUACUCGGUGGUGAACGUGAGGUGCCGGGACCGGCCCAAGCUGCUGUUCGACAUCGUCUGCACGCUGACGGACAUGCAGUACGUCGUCUUCCACGCCGCCGUCACCUCCGAAGGCAUCUACGGCAUCCAGGAGCUGUACAUUCGUCGCAAGGACGGCCGCACGCUGCUGAAGGACGAGGCAGAGAAGGUGACCAAGUGCCUCGAAGCGGCGAUCUCCAGAAGAGUGUCCGAGGGAUUCACGCUUGAGCUCUGCGGCAGGGACAGGGUGGGGCUGCUGUCGGACGUGACGAGGGUGCUCCGGGAGCACGGCCUGACGGUGACGAGGGCCGACGUGACGACGGUGGGGGAGCAGGCCGUGAACGUCUUCUACGUGCGCGACGCGUCGGGGCAGCCGGUGGACAUGAAGACCAUCGAGGGCCUCCGGGGACAGGUCGGCCAGACCGUCAUGCUCAACGUCAAGAAGGUGCCCGCUGACAAGGCGCCGGAGCGGACUGCUGGCAGCAUGGCCAAGACCAGCUUCUUCUCCUUCGGCGGCCUCUUCGCCAAACUCGGAGCAUAA